UUGUAGUAAUACAAGGCAGACGGCUCANUAACGCGUAGUCAACCUAACCUAUGGACGGGAAUAACCUCGGGAAACUGAGUAUAAUGCCCGAUAGAACAUUAUGCCUGGAAUGGUUAUGUUCCAAAUGAUUUAUCGCCGUAGGAUGGGACUGCGGCCUAUCAGUUUGUUGGUGAGGUAAUGGCCCACCAAGACUAUUACAGGUACGGGCUCUGAGAGGAGUAGCCCGGAGAUGGGUACNGAGACACGGACCCAGGCCCUAUGGGGCGCAGCAGGCGAGAAAACUUUGCAAUGUGCGAAAGCACGACAAGGUUAAUCCGAGUGGUUUCUGCUAAAGGAACCUUUUGUCGGUCCUAGAAACACCGAUGAAUAAGGGGUGGGCAAGUUCUGGUGUCAGCCGCCGCGGUAAAACCAGCACCUCAAGUGGUCAGGAUGAUUAUUGGGCCUAAAGCAUCCGUAGCCGGCUCUGUAAGUUUUCGGUUNAAUCUGUAUGCUUAACGUACAGGCUGCCGGGAAUACUGC
rnacentral:rRNA from 1 species